GACGAAGGGGGCUAGCGUUGUUCGGAAUUACUGGGCGUAAAGCGCGUGUAGGCGGUUGCCCAAGUCAGGUGUGAAAGCCUUGAGCUCAACUCAAGAAAUGCACUUGAUACUUGGUGACUAGAGUACCGGAGAGGAUAGUGGAAUUCCCAGUGUAGUGGUGAAAUACGUAGAGAUUGGGAAGAACACCAGUGGCGAAGGCGGCUAUCUGGACGGUUUCUGACGCUAAGACGCGAAAGCGUGGGGAGCAAACAGG
rnacentral:rRNA from 1 species